GACGAACGCUGGCGGCGUGCUUAACACAUGCAAGUCGAGCGGUAAGGCCCUUUCGGGGGUACACGAGCGGCGAACGGGUGAGUAACACGUGGGUGACCUGCCCUCAGCUCUGGGAUAAGCCUGGGAAACUGGGUCUAAUACUGGAUAUGACUCCACGGUGCAUGUCGUGGGGUGGAAAGCCUUGUGCGGCUGAGGAUGGGCCCGCGGCCUAUCAGCUUGUUGGUGGGGUGANGGCCUACCAAGGCGACGACGGGUAGCCGGCCUGAGAGGGCGACCGGCCACACUGGGACUGAGACACGGCCCAGACUCCUACGGGAGGCAGCAGUGGGGAAUCUUGCGCAAAUGGGCGAAAAGCCUGACGCAGCGACGCCGCGUGAGGG
rnacentral:rRNA from 1 species